CGGCGGCCUCUUCUUCCCAGCUCUCCGCCGUUUCCUUCUUUCUUCAGAGAGCAGCGAUGGGAGCGGGCGAUAAGAAAGAGAAGACGAAGGGCAAGAAGGAGGAGACGGAGGCUCACGGCUUGAAGCGCGAGGAGGCCGAGGUGCAAGCGAAGGAAGGAGCACCUCGCCUGUUGAUUCCGGCUCCGAUUACGAGUUCUUGGCUUUAGCUUUUCCUCCGUGGCUCUUGUCCGUGUCGAUUCGCCUCCUCGAGAUCGAUUGAUGCGUUGUGCGUGUAGUAGGAUUUCUCUGAGGAUGGAAAUUCUGAAGAUAGGACUUGGAAUCUGGAGAAAGUGACUCACAAGAGCACGAGGCGCAAGAUACAUGAUGAGAACAAUGAUGAGGUAGUAGAGCUGACAGAAGAUGAAACGAGACUUAUUCGUGGACUACCCAAAGGAAGAGCACCGCAUGCUGGAUUUGAUCCAUAUCCGGAUUAUGUUGACUCUUUAAAAUGGGAUGACGUGAAACGCCCACUAUCAAAUGCCCCAGAACCAAAGAGAUGUUUCACUCCUUCAAAAUGGGAGGCCAAAAAGAUCAGUCUUUUCAGCAUUUCCCUAUUUGGAUGACAAUAUGGGAUGAAGUCAGUAUUCUUUUAGUUCUCAUACCUUUCGGGCUGAGCUGGUAACAAUGAUGCAGCGUUUUUACUUUUGGUUCCUCAAACGCAUAUAAGAUCCUGUACUGGGGUGUUAUCCUGAUGGCUUCUAGUCUUGAUGCGGUUGGCUUCAAACUGUGCUUACUAAUUGCAGCUUACUAUUUCUAAU